AAACUUCAAUUUAAUCACACCAUGAAACAAUUAUCACUAGCAUGAGAAUGAAGCAUGAUAUCAAGAUGAUCAGCAAUUAAAGGUUUAAUCAUGCUACCAUAUAAUUUCAGACUAUUGAUUUUGCUCAACUAACUCACAAGAGAAGAGUUUAGAUUACCAGUGCAUUUAGCAUUCUUCAAGCCAAAUAUCUUUUGGAUUCUUUACACCCUUGGCUGAAGAAAAUCUCUCCUUUUUUUUGUUUGCAAGGGAAUGUUUAUUGUAUCUUUCAUCGAUGUGUCCUUCAAGUUAAAAUUUCUUGCUCAUGAAUUCUGUAUCAUUAGCAAAAUCUUUUUCUUUUCUUGAAGGCAAUUCAUUAGGUUCUCUAGGAUACAAAAACAUUCAUACAACAUAUUUCUUAACUAGAUGACUCAACAUGAGACAUGACAAUAAUUGAAUUUGAG
rnacentral:lncRNA from 1 species